UAGGGAAUCUUCGGCAAUGGGGGCAACCCUGACCGAGCAACGCCGCGUGAGUGAAGAAGGUUUUCGGAUCGUAAAGCUCUGUUGUAAGUCAAGAACGGGUGUGAGAGUGGAAAGUUCACACUGUGACGGUAGCUUACCAGAAAGGGACGGCUAACUACGUGCCAGCAGCUGCGGUAAUACGUAGGUCCCGAGCGUUGUCCGGAUGUAUUGGGCGUAAAGCGAGCGCAGGCGGUUUGAUAAGUCUGAAGUUAAAGGCUGUGGCUCAACCAUAGUUCGCUUUGGAAACUGUCAAACUUGAGUGCAGAAGGAGAGAGUGGAAUUCCAUGUGUAGCGGUGAAAUGCGUAGAUAUAUGGAGGAAGACCGGUGGCGAAAGCGGCUCUCUGGUCUGUAACUGACGCUGAGGCUCGAAAGCGUGGGGAGCGAACAGG
rnacentral:rRNA from 1 species